UACGGAGGGUGCAAGCGUUAUCCGGAUUUACUGGGUUUAAAGGGUGCGUAGGCGGACGAUUAAGUUAGAUGUGAAAGCUUGCAGCUCAACUGUAAGAUUGCGUUUGAUACUGGUUGUCUUGAAUUUAGUAGAAGUGGGCGGAAUAAAUCAUGUAGCGGUGAAAUGCAUAGAUAUGAUUUAGAACACCGAUUGCGAAGGCAGCUCGCUAUGUUAAUAUUGACGCUGAGGCACGAAAGCGUGGGGAUCAAACAGG
rnacentral:rRNA from 1 species